CAAUGUUUUUUCAACAUGUAGACAAAGUUUGGUGUUUAUAGUGUUACUCUCCUCUGAGCAGUAUGCAUUAAUUCACAGCUAAAUGUAAAAAACAAUCCACAUUCAAAUCAAAAUAGCCGACUUCCUGUUGGUCGUAGCUAAUGACUGUGAAUUAGAAAGUUGUCCGUCUUGAUAAGAACAAUUUUUGUACUGAGUUUGGUGUCUGUAGCUAAAACUAACCCCCCCACUUUUGACAAAAGGUGGCGCUAUAGAGUGCCUCUUCCACGCCCUCUUAUGAACUUUUGCCAGUGUCUAGCUGUCACUAAUACUGAUAUGUGUUCUGAGUUUGAUGAAAUUCUAAGCAUGUUAUAUGCCUCAAAAUCACCUGAGAAGUAUUCCAGUUUGACAUGUUGCCACGGCAACAAUAUUUUUAGAUAUCAAUAUCCCCCCAGCAGAUUUAUAUCGACUGUGUUUUAACAUUAUUCUGAUGAAGUUUGAAGCAAAUCGAGUAAAAAUAAGAUGCUGAAUUCAAAGCAUUUUGAAAAUGACACACUUCCUGCUGCCAGUUGGUGGCGCUAUAACUUUGACUCCUAAUAGUCACAUAUAUGCGAUCGACAUCAUACAAUGAAUAAUCUGAUGAAGUUUUAUAACAAUCAGGAAAUGUAUGUGGAUGGUAUUAGACACUUCCUGUUUCUCAAUUCUCGCCAUAAAUUCAACGCCUCACUACGAGCAAACCGUUUGAGAUAUCAAAAAUCCCCUGGCAAUUUUUCAUCCCCAAUGUCUUGAGAUCAUGUUGACCGAGUUUGGUGUCAAUCGGCAAAAAACCCUAUGACAAGUAUUUCAAAUUCCAGAGCAUGCGCUUUUUACAUAACUCUAAAUAGCUGACUUCCUGUUGGGCGGAGCCUAAGACAUGCAAUACGAAAGUUGUUCAGCACGAUGAGAUCUAUAUGUGUACUGAGUUUGAUAUUAAUAUGUGCAAGUAUGUGUGAGCUAUGCAUCAACAUUUCUGACUGUGAUCCAGGGGGCGCCGUAGAGCCCCUGUGCCACGCCCGGGUCCCAGCCUCUGCAGGCUCCUAAAGGCCACAGAUUCCAAAGUGUGCGCAAAUUUUCAAGAGUUUUUGAGUAUGUUAAGGACCCCAAAAGCCCCCACAACUUUGACGAAAAAUAUGAAUACUAAACGCUAAAUAUCCAACUUCCUGUUGGGCGGAGCCUAUGACAUGCAGUACGAAAGUUGUUUGGUUUGAUGAGAUCUACAUGUGUACAGAGUUUCGUGCGUCUACGUGCAAGUAUGUAUGAUAUAUGGCCCUCAGUAUUCCAGGGGGCGCUGUAGAGCCCCUGUGCCACGCCCGUGUAUCAGUCUCUGCCCGGCCCUAAUGGCCGCAGGUUCCAAUGUGUGUGCCAAUUUUCAAGACUUUUUAAGCAUGUUAAGGGCCCCAAAAGCCCCCGAAACCUUGAAGAAAAAUAAUAAUAAUAAUAACAAAUAAUCCUAAGGAAAACAAUAGGGCUCUCGCCCUCCAGGCUUGAGCCCUAAUAAUAACAAGAAUAAUCCUUAGAAGAACAAUAGGGCUCUUCGCCCCUUCGGGCUUGAGCCCUAAAUAUAGCUGCAAGCAGCGAUGGCGGGCUCAAGCCACCAAUGCCAUCACCACCCCGGUGGCAUCAGGUAAACUGUGCCCAGCGGGCACAUGCAUUCACAAUAUCCCUCUGGCAGUGAGGUUUUAAAGGAUAGAGGGGAGCGUAGAGGGGAGCGUGCAUUUGCAGUGGCUGGGCCACGACUCUGGAAUACCCUGCCUUUAGAGAUCAGACUGGCCCCUUCCUUGUCUAUUUUUAAAUCUUUGCUAAAAACUUUUUUAUUUUCCUUAGUGUACUGACUACUGUGUUAUGCUACAUUUUGAAAUGGGUGGUUUUAAAUUUUUUGUCUGGUCUAUUUUUAUGUAUGUGUAAUAUUCUUGCUCUUAUGUUAAAGCACUUUGGUCAGCCAGGAGGCUGUUGUAAAUGCGCUAUACAAAUAAAUUGAACUUGAACUUGAACUUGAACUUGAUAUGGCAGUUAAAGGGUUAAUCCGAAUCAUCUAGACUUUAAAAUCACAUUCACAGAACAAUAUAUAUAUAUAUAUAUAACUUUAGUAACACUUUACAAUAAGAUUUCAUUUAUAAACAUUAUGUUAACAUGAACAAUAUUUAUAUAGCAUUCAUUCAUGUCAGUUAAUAUUCCAAACUUAAACAUUAAAACAUUGUUUUAUUGUGAUUUUUUUCCAAGCACAUUUUACCAAUUCCAAACCAUAUCAAUCUUAAUAACUACCAUUAUUUUUUAUUUAAUCAUUUAUGAGUGCUAUACAAUAGUCCAGGAAAGCUGGAAGAGAAAAACAGGUCAAGAAGAACUGACAAAAGAAUUGCAAAAGAAUUAGGAAUUAAUGUGAAGAUUAAUUUUUAGUCAAUUCUGCAAGACAGACUUUCAGGAAAGGAGGUGGAAUAAAAAUGAGCUCCUAAAUCUUAAUCCCGGAUUCUGGAAGAUAUAUUCCUCAAACCAUCGGACAAGAGAAGGUGGUGCUGGUCCUUCACGAGUCACUCUAAUCUGUUCAUGAAGCCUAUAUAUAAAGUCUUAAUAUAUAGUAUUUCACAAUACUUCAUGGUAUUCUAAUUAAAUCAUUUUUUGGAAUCUUAGAUUUCUCAGAACCUGACACAUUGUAAUUCUGAGACUCCAGGAAAGUGGCAGCUCUGUAAAAUGUUGGCACUGGAGACUAAAUGCUCCCUGAUAGUUUCACACCUAAUUCACUUAACACACACACACACACACACACACAUUACCCACAGUGACAGUGGGACUGAGUGACAUCAGAUUUAUGAUAGUUUUUUAAUUUUCUAUCAUCCAUAUAGUGUUGUAUAGUCAUGAAACUAUGCAUAUUUCCUCAGAAUGACUUGUCUUCUAUGUGUACAUUUUUUUGAAGUGUUUAGAAGCUGCACUUUAAAAAAAUAAAAGACAUUUACUGGUUACUUUUUUACUGUUAUUUCAAAAAAUCACCACGACAAAACCAUUCAAGCUAUCCAAAAUUCAUUCGCAUCUGUUCUGUAAGAUAAAUUCUUUAAACAGUGGUAAAAGAGGAUGUGGUGCUGAACCUUCAAGAGUCACUUAAAACGUAUCUGUCCAUAAAGCCUAUAAAGAAUUAUUCUUAAUAUACAGUUCACAAUACUUCAGCUUGUUAUUCUAAUUAAGUGAGGGUCAUUUUAUCAGUAAAAUUCAUAAAAUUCAUAUUAUUUUUCUUUGAAAGAUUUCUAUAAAUGAUUUAAAUCAUACUUGUUUCUACAAUAAUUAUUUAAAAGUGAUCCUAUAGCUCCAUCAGGUGGCCAUUAUUGGUACUAAGAAUUGCAAGCUUGAUUUAUAUGUUAUGAUAGUUUUAAUUUUUUGCUGGCUCUUGAAAAUGAUAAAGCUUUGAAACUUACUGUGGUUCCUUCAAAUGAUGACUUCUACGUAUAUAAAAAAUUAUGAAGAGUUUGGAAUGAAAAAAUUUAAAGAUAUAGUAAAAUAACUAUUGUAUUUUUUUAUGUUACUUUAAUAAAUUGCUAUGGCCACACCAUUUAAGGUAUCCUAAACCCAUUCGCAAUUUAACAUCUUCAGUAUAUUGGAUUCAUGUUAAAAAAAAAAGUUUGGUGUGAACUACUUGUGUCUUCUUGGAGGAGUAUGAAU